rnacentral:rRNA from 1 species
GUCUUUUUGUUAAUAGUUUAAAGUCUAAUCUGCCCACUGAUAUAUUUAUUAAAGGGCUGCAGUAUUUUGACUGUACAAAGGUAGCAUAAUCAUUAGUCUUUUAAUUGGUGACUUGUAUGAAAGAUUGGAUGAAAUAUAAACUGUCUCUUUUAUAAAAAAAAAAUUGAAUUUAAUUUCUUAAUUAAAAAGUUAAAAUUAUUUAAAAAGACGAGAAGACCCUAUAGAGUUUUAUAAUUUAUUUUGUAAAUAUUUUUAUUUUUAUAUUUUUAUAAUUUUAAAUUAUUUUGUUGGGGUGAUAAAAAAAUUUAAUUAACUUUUUUUAAUAGUUUACAUUAAUAAGUGAUUAAAUGAUCCAAUUUUAUUGAUUAAAAGAAAAAAUUACCUUAGGGAUAACAGCGUAAUUUUUUUUUUUAGUUCAAAUAAAAAGAAAAGUUUGCGACCUCGAUGUUGGAUUAAGUUAAAAUUUAAAUGUAGAAGUUUAAAAUUUUGAUCUGUUCGAUCAUUAAAAUCUU